CAGGAAAGGCAGAAGCCCUAAGCUUGCCCAACUGGGCAGAGGGAUCCUCCUCAUCUCAUCACUGUGAUAUUGGCACAGGUUGUUCAUACCACUUUAUCUCCCUUCACCUCCAUCCUUGCUGCCCACCUGUGUUUAAAGCUCGAGCAAAGAGACCCAAGUUUUGGACAGAUGUAGGAACCUAAAUGACUUUUGACAACCUGGUCUCUUUGCCAGGCUUCCAAACAGACCCAGCUAUGCUGACUGCACAGCUGAGAGACACCAUUGGGAUGCUGUGACUCUGGAAUGAUUUCAUCUGAUGCCCAGCAGGGUCAGUUUAGCAUACUGAAAUUGGCCUGACUUACAUCUGCUUUGCAGUUCAUCACUGGCAUACUUCUGAAAUUGUUCUAUGUCUGUAAGGAUGCCUUCCUCCCCUCCCCCAGUGCUCUAGUAAUGCCAAGAUUUAUUGAAUUUGAGGGUCCAGUUGUGACCUUGGCUCCCACUUGCUAAAUCUGAGCCUCUGGGGUCUAUAAAUCUUCAUGUGCUGUUCAAUUUAUAGAAGUGAACAUCUGCUUAUCAUACAAUAUUUAAGUUGCAGGUGUAUUCUACCAGUAAAAUAAACGCAUGAGUUCACAAUU